CAGCAGCCGCGGUAAUACGUAGGGUGCGAGCGUUAAUCGGAAUUACUGGGCGUAAAGCGUGCGCAGGCGGUUCGUUAAGACAGAUGUGAAAUCCCCGGGCUUAACCUGGGAGCUGCAUUUGUGACUGGCGAGCUAGAGUAUGGCAGAGGGGGGUAGAAUUCCACGUGUAGCAGUGAAAUGCGUAGAGAUGUGGAGGAAUACCGAUGGCGAAAGCGAGGCCCUGGACCCUUUCUGACGCUGAGACGCGAAAGCCAGGGGAGCGAACGGGAUUAGAUACCCCUGUAGUCCCUGUCUCUUAUAC
rnacentral:rRNA from 1 species